ACUAGAAGGUGAAUAGUGACUAUAUGCACGCUGAUCAAUCGCUAAUCUUCAUUAGUUCCAAGUGAUCUGUGCUAGAGUAAAGUUCUCUUGUUCUGUGCUGUAUAGUUGAACAGUGAAUAGUGUGAUCUUUUUGUUGAACAUUUUGAUAAAAUCAAGAAAUUUUAAAAGAUAAAAUAUAAAUUGAAAUCGACCACCCAACAUGUUCUCCAGAAAUGCAAUAAUGACUGUAUUAGUCAUGCUAUCCAUAGCAUUUCUACAUACGACAUCGACGGUGAAUGGCCUUGCUCUCUCGAACGAAGGAAACAUCAAUGAUGUCCAGGCAACAAAUUAUACGAUCGGACAUGACGCCGUUAUCAUGCAUUCACUUCUUGGCGACAUACAAAUACCGAUACCAGAGGAUAUUAAAACCGAACUAAACAGACGUAAAAAUGAAGGAAAAACGUUUGAGAGGCUGACUCUAUUCGGAGAGAGUGAAUUCAACCAUAACUACCCGUCAAGUAGACAAACGGAUUUCUUUGAAUGCAUGGAAAAAUCGAAUGCAGUUCUAGCGGCGCACACUGAAAGCUAUCAAAGUUGGUCAAUAUUUUUCAAACGUAACAAAUUCAGCGAUACAAUGGCAGUUCGCUACUGUUGCAACUUAUUGGAAUAUGCGGAAAUUCUUCAACAGCAGUUGCCACUAGAAUGCCAAAGCCAGAUCCGCUUUCAAGAUAAACUCAUGGUAGAUCCACAAAUUCGUGCAACGUGUCGCCAGUACGAUAUCCAUACCGUGGAAUGCUUUUUAGUCAGUUGGAUGUAUUGGUGGAUACCAAUUGUCUCAUUGAUCCUAAUUAUGUUAAUUUUAAUGUGCGUGUGUUGUGCAAUGAAACGUAGCCGUAGUAGAGCUUAUUUGAAGACUAGAGAAGAGGACAAACGGUUUAGAACGUCACUAGUUAACGGCACCGCAAUAUAGAACGUUUUUUUCUACUUCGGUAAGUAGUGUUGAUGUUUCUAUAUAAUUGUUCGAUUCCGAACAGAACCCUUUUUUCGGAAAAAUUCGGAAAAAAUUCGGAAAAUUUCGAAAAAUUCGGAAAAAGUUCCGAAAAAUUUAUAAAAUAUUUUGGAUUUUUUGAAACGUUCUCAGUAUUUUUCUGGAAAUUUUCAGAAUUUUUCGGAAUUAAAAUUCCCAAAAAUCGGCCCUGCUCCGAAACGAGACCACAAACGUCUAAGUGCAGUGCAAUGACAUCAUCACUCAUUUAGUCAAUUUAAAUUUUAUUCAAAUUUUGUUAUACUCAACGUAAACAAGAAUCUCUUUCUCUAUAAUGUAAUUAGUCUUUAUCUCCAACAUAAAUUUUCGGAGGUUUCAACUCUUAUAAAAUAUAUAGCAAUACGCCAGACCGACCAGCUGUUAUUUAGCUGGGAAAAAGCCUCGAUUAGAUCAACAUCAUACACACACAAUGUACGUUACAAUGGAUCUGAUUGAUCUUCAAGACUGAUUAUUAAGCACAAAACGAAAAAUUUAGUUUUUGUUUACAAACCAAAUUUUUAUUUGUCGUUAGGAUAUUAUAGUAACCUGAAUAAUAAGUACCUCUCUACACUCCCAUUCCAUCUGAAUUUUAAAACUUAAGAGUUAUUAGAGAUAAGAAUUUAAAUAUAUUUUUUUAACUGUAAAUGUUGGAAUGUAUCUAAAACCAAAAACAAUAAACAAACAAAUUAUAGUUACCACACAUACAACAUGA